rnacentral:misc_RNA from 1 species
GUUAGAUUCUUCUAUGAUAUGCUAAUGGAACCAACACGGAGAAAGAACCACCACAAAGCCCCAGCACCCUCUAGGAAAAAGGUGAAAGACCAUUUAAUUUAUUCCUUUGGGAUGCUAAGAACAAGCAUGCAUGCCCACUUGCCUAUCAUAUAGUACAUGCACAGGCGUGCAUGCAAAUCCCAAAGAUACCCAAGAAAUUAUCUGCUAAAUCCUUUUUUUUUUUUAAAUCUUUUUGC